rnacentral:lncRNA from 1 species
UCCGGUUUAAUGAAGCAUGGCAUGACAAAGUGCAACAAACAACACUACAAAUUAAGUGGAGCUCAAUAUGCAACGGAGUUGCAUAUUAAAGAAAACACCACCUGACUUAUUUAGUUCUCUCUCGUUUAGGUACCCAUCAAUAUUAAAUGUUGUUAAACAUGGCAAGAGGUGAAGCAUAGUAAUCUAGGCAAGUUUAAAUGAGGUCGGAACAACAAGCAACAAGUCUGGAAAAUCCUCAUGUGCAAAAUAUGGAUUUGGUACUAUUCUGCCCUAAACACAAUUUUAGAGUUAUUAAACAUGCAAAGUAAAGCCACCAUGUUAAACUAGGCAUUUUUAUACCCCAUUUACAUAUAAAGAUUAUUAAGUUUGGAGCUAUGGUUAUUUAGUUAUGAAAUAAAGCAUUUUAGCAUGGCAUUUAUGCAAAAUUAAACAAGAAACAUUUUAAACAUUUUUAACAUGCAUGAAAGUUGGAUAUUGUGAAACUGGACGAAAAUCUAAGCAUUUUACUUAUAUAACUUAUUUUAAACCGAUGCACGGUUGAGGAGUUAUAAUAUGCAUGAAGUUAAGGGCCUAAUCUGUAAACAUGCAGUUUUCUAUAAAAUAGGGAAAUUUGUCCGCUAAAAAAUAGCAGUUGGGCCGAAACUGGUUGGCCCAACAGAGAAACAAAAAAAUGAAGGCGCACGGAGGGCACCUCACCAUGGGCUGAGGCCCAGGUCGGUGUUGGCGGCGCGGGCAGGCCGCGAAGGAGGCUGGGCCUUCCUGGCGCUGGCUGGGCCAGGCGCGAGUCAGCGAGAGUCAACGCGGGCGCGGAUUGGGCGAGGCGUUCGUCCCUGGUUCGAAGAGGCGAGGCGCUGGCCUCGAACGACGACGGCGGCAGCAGGAACUCCGGCCGGUGAGGGCGCAGCUUGGGAAGGCAGAGAAGCAGGACUUGGGGACGAGUGCUCUGGCUUGGACUAGAUCAGAGAGGCCAUGGCGUGGUGCUCUCCUGUGGUGAUGACGAACGGCGGUAGGCGAGGCAAUAGUACUGCAAGGAAUUCACGGGAAGAAGCGGACCGCGUGGUAGAUGCAUGGUUACCGGCGGCUUGCCAGAGUCAUGAGGACGGCAGGGUCCAGCGGGGCUGGAGGCUGGGAGGCCGACGAGCAGAGAGGAGUGCCGGCGACCAGCGGGCAAGGCGACGGAGCAGUAGCUGCAGAAGACGGCGGCGGCGGUCCAUGGCGGCGGCGGCUGUUGCAUCCCUGGUGCAGCACAAGAGAGAGAGAGAGAGAGAGAGAGACCGUGAGAGAGAAGGACGCAAACGAAGGAAGAAAGACGGCGAGGGGCGGCACAUCCUAGGGCGAGGCGGCCGGAGCUGCUGGUGGACGAAAUUGGAGUGGGAAGCGGACGCGGCAAGUCAGGGGACCGAGGGGAGCCACGGGAGGACGAGCUCGGGAGGCUUGGCGCGGGGAAGCUGGUGCCUGCGGGCUCGAGGAGAAACAGAGGAGGUCGCAAGUCGAGGUGGAACGGGACCUUGAGGCCGAGCCCAGACCAUGGCGGCUUCCUUUUGCUCCCUGUCCAAAACGAGACAGAGACAAUUUGAGAAUGGGGAAGGGAAAGAAAGCAGAGGGAGAAAUGGGAGCACAGGGUGCGAGGGAGGAGGUCUUCUCCGGCAACGGGGCUCCGGUCUGGUGGCUGUGCUAGUUGGCUUGGUGGAGAAAAUGAGGAGAAGGCAGGAUCGAUUGGGUGGAUCGGGCAAGAUCCCGAGGAAAGGGGAGAACAGGUGGAGCUACUGGUGGCGGAUGGGAUGGAUGGAAUGGAUGGGACGGCUCGGACUAGGGUUUGACUAUAUAUAUAUAGGUAGGGAUUAGGGUAGGGCUAUCUCGUCCCUACGAUUUUAAUCGGACGGCCAAGAAAAUAUAGGUUAGGAAGUCCAAUUAACAAAAAGAAGAUGUUUUGUAGAUGGUUGGGGAUGAUCCGGACCCAACGGUGACGACUGUCUAGGUCGGGUCCGGGGAAGUUUCGGACGCGCUCGAGAGGGGUCUAUGCACUGCGCAAAGAGGGGUAGGAUGGGCCUAGGUGGACUGUGUAGAAGGCCAUGUGCUGAGAGGAGAGAAGAGAAGUGCAGCCCGGCAAGAUUUCCGGAGACCGAAAACGUCCGACGAAAAGACCGGCUAUACUGCCGCUAUAGUUAGCCAUUGGGGCAUCAAAUAGACUCCAAAUGCGAUGAAACUUGACAGGCGGUCUAUCUACACUAUAAUAAGACCACACGCCAACUUUCAUCCCAUUCCGAGAACAUUUUCCAGCCACUUAUAAAAUACUAUUUCGGGCAUGCGGCGGGCGCGUGCAAGUGUGUCUGGGCUCAGAACGGACAAUGGAGAGAACGAGGAGACCGGGACGGAUGCAAGUUUUGAAAAACAUGAUGAUGCAAUGCACAUGAUGACAUGGCAAGCUGCAACAUGCAAGCGAAUGACAUGGCAAUGUCAGCGAAUAACUGGAAGACACCUGGCGUGUCGGACUCGGGGCGUCACAACACUCCACCACUACGAGAGGAUCUCGUUCCGAGAUCUAGGAUGGCACCGGAGAGAAACGGAGGAGGAAGAUGAGAGGUAAAACUAAGUUGCUUCUUUGACAAAUGAGUGAAACCAUGAACCUUGAGAGGUUGAACAAAUUGAAAUAAAAUAAAACAACAAAGGUGAACAAAGUUGAAAACACUCCGUUAGAAAAGAGGAAGAAGAAACAUUAGUAGAACCUUGUAGGUUGAAAGACAUAAGAAAAGGGUUACAAAGGACAAGAAGUACAUGCAAGCACUCCGGUUGAAACGAGAUGUAAAAGGAAUGAUAAAGAUCAAUUAUGAUAACACUCCGGUCGGAAAUGGAAGGUAAAGAAUAUGAGCUUGGCAAAAUGAAAGCACUUGGAUGAGACUCCGGUUAAAAGAGGAAUGAUAGCCACAACACCCCAGUUAAAACAAGAUAGAGAAGGAAAAGAAUGAUAUAAUUUGGGAAGCACUCCGACUAUAAGUGGACGGAAUUGAACAUGAUCUUAGGAAGAUUGGAUGAUACUGGACGAAAUCAACAACACCUUGCCUCCAGGAUUACUAAAAGAAUGGCACAAUGGGUAAGAAAGAUUUUAGACAGCACUCCAAUUGAGAAAGAGGCAAAACAUGAUAAGAUGAGAGAACUUGAAUGAAGGACACGAAACUCCGGUUGAAUGGAUAGACAAAGGAAAGAGCAUGAUGUUGGCAAAAUGAGAUGAUAGGACGAAGAGAGCAACAUCACCAUACCUCCGGAACAAAUGAAUGGAAAACUAGAUGGUUGGAAGGAAAAGAACGGAGAAGAAGAAUGACAACUCUAGCAAAUAAAAUUGAAAGAGCAUGCUUACGAAGAAAAGGUUGAAUGAAGUUGUUGGAUUAUCAACAACGAAAGCAUAAGCUUGAUGUGGGCUAAUGGAAGACAUCUCAAAAUUUUUAGGUGACAACCUGCCACUCACGGGAAAAAGAUCGAAUUGACAUCAACAAGGAGAUGAGAAGCUUAUCUCACCGGAAGGAUAAAUGAAGGCCCUGGGUCCUUUAUAAUCACCAUAAUAGCAACAACCCUUAGGAAAGUCUUAAGGUGAAAUAUAGCCCAAGAUAACUCCAAAGAAGAGAUUGAUGGGUUGCAAAGGAUCUCAUGAACGAAUUGAAAAUGAUGGGUUUACAAUAUGUCAUUCCGGACAACUUGUGAAUCAUGAAACACCAAACAAUUGUCAAAAAUGACUUAACACCACCUCAAAAGAUAAGGUAGAAGGAAUUGCACUACAGAAUGCAAGAUGAAGAAUGCUUGAGCUCCUUUGAAAAGAAUCUCGAUGAACACUUCGAGAAGGAAUUAAAUCCUUGAUGAACCACCAUGUAGAACCUCCAUGAAGAACUCCGGUAAUAAAAGAAUGAUGAAAAGAAAGAGAAGUUGAAUACACAAGGUGAAGCCUUGUGAUGAUUAGAUGGAGCUUCGCGAUGAGAUAAAGCGGAAAACCUGGAACUCUGGCAACGAAAGAUGGAACUCAGGAAUAAGGAAUUAAAUCACUUUGAUGAUACAAGAAUAAGAAUUACGUUAUGCGUAUCCUUCACCAAUUUAAAUUGAUGACAAGCAAUGGACUUGUCAUACUACUUAUUCUCGUAGAAAGGAUUAAGAUAGAUAUAGCGCAAACUUGGGAAGGUCUUCAACGAACCACCGGAAGGGUUGAAACAAAUGAAUAAAUUGAUAUGAUAAACGAAGGAAGAAGAAUCUUGAACAAACCACCGUAAGAAUUGAAAAUGAACGAAGAAAAGAUAAGGAAACACCGAGAAGAAUUAGCAAAUGAAUGAAGAUGCUUGAGAGAAUUUAGAUACAGAUCAUGAACUGAUUAGAGGAUAUUUUAUCAAUGCACCGGUAAGAAUUUGAGAACGAGAGCUCAAAGCUGGAAUGAAUAAAUCUGAAAUGAUGACCUCCAGAGAAUCGAACUGAAAAGACUCCUGAAUUGCUCCGGAUGGUUGAAAAGAAUUCUCACAAUCAAAACAAUUACAAGAGGAUGGCCUCAAACUAGAACCAUGAAUCUUGAAGAGAAUGGAUGAAGAUUUAAGAGAAACUCUUCUUCGGUCUUCAAAAUUUGAGAAUGACGAUGAGAAACACCACCAAAUUGUUGAGACACUCAGGAAUAAAGAAGAAUGGAAAAGUCGAACCAACGAUGAAAAGAUUUGAAAGAUCUUGUAGAAAGGCAUUUGACUGAUGAUAACUCAUCCUUAUGUCAAACUUUGAAAGAUUUGAGAAUAGCUCCGGUAAAAUUAGAAGAGUCAGGUAAGAUCCUGGGAAAAGACAUGUGGGUUAGGGCCCACUCAAAAGAAACGCCGUUGAAGGAUUGCUUGAAAAGAGAAUUUACACCGGUUGAUUUAAAUGGCUUGAAUGAGAUGACAAUCUCGAAAUAGGUUGAACGAAUCUUGAAUGAAAAGACGGGCCUUCUGAGAUAUCUUUAGCACUCCGGAACAAAUGAAUAUCGAGGAGUGGAUGAUUAAUAGGUGCACCGGCAUGAGAAAGCAUUUGAAAUGAGGAAAUGGAUAUAAUCAACACCAAAAGCUUGAAUUGAAUCCACCGGAGAAGAAAAGAGUGAAGAAUGAUGAACUAGUAGAACAUCUUCAUGAGAAACACUGGGUAAGAACAUUGACGGGAGGAAUGGACAGACUUCUCAUCAAUAACAUGAUAGUUGAUUAAGAAAUCCGGAUCCUUGAAGGAAAAGGGUGGGAGGGUGGGAAAACAAAAACAAUUUAGGAUAGAUGAAAUGAACACCGUUGAGAAGACUUGAGUUGAUCUUGCGGAUGUUGAAAAUGAUCAGAUCCACUUGAAGAGAAAGCACACUGGUUGAAAAGGAUAGGCAUUGCCCAUCUCAAUGAUCGAAAAGGAUUAGCACUCCCAUAGAAAUAUGAGAACACCGCUUAGGAAAGGUAUGGAAUCAACAUUUGACUUCGAAGCAACUCAAAUACCACAACUCAAAACAAAAACAAAGGAUUGGCUUGCAAAAUAAGCCGGAACAAACAUAUGAUAGAGAUUUCGUCCGAAGUUUUUGUGGUGGGGCCCACACGGGCUCGAUCGUACAACACCAUCAUGUACAAGGCAGUGCACAUGACAUACGAAGCGUCCCCGAGUCAGCAUAGCCAAGGACUCUUUAAGACACAACGAGACCACUGUAAAAAAACCAACCGUGGAUAGGCGGCUAUAUCUCCCACGUGUUGGAGCACGACUUAGAGGCAUAACCGCAUUUUAGGCAUGUCGCAAGAGGGGUAAGCUUUACACGUCCCAUGUACUGAAUAAGAAAGAGGUACAGAGUUGGCUUACAAUCGCCACUUCACACAAUACAUGAAUAUAGCAUUACAACAUCCAGAAUACAAUCAAGGUCUGACUACGGAACCAAAAUAAAAGAAGACCACCCCUAAUGCUACAGAUCCCCGAUCGCCCCAACUGGGCUCCACUACUGAUCAACUAGAAACGGAACAACAUAACAAACAUGAUCUUCAUCGAGCUCCUCCUUGAGCUCGGUUGCAUCACCUGCACGGUAUCAUCGGCACCUGCAAUCUGGUUUUGAAAGUAAUCUGUGAGUCACGGGGACUCAACAAUCUCACACCCUCGCGAUCAAGACUAUUUAAGCUUAUGGGUAGGUAAAAGGUAUGUGAGGUGGAGCUGCAGCAAGCACUAAGCAUAUAUGGUGGCUAACUUACGCAAAUGAGAGCGUGAAGAGAAGCAAAGCACGGUCGCGAACUAGAAGUGAUCAAGAAGUGAUCCUUGAACUACUUACGUUCAAACAUAACUCCAACACCGUGUUCACCUCCCGGACGCCGCCGGAAAGAGACCAUCACGGUACACACGCGGUUGAUGCAUUUUAAUUAAGUUAAGUGUCAAGUUCUCUACAACCGGACAUUAACAAGUUCCAAUCUGCCCAUAACCGCGGGCACGACUUUCGAAAGUUCAAAACCCUGCUGGGGUGUCCCAACUUAGCCCAUCACUAGCUCUCUCGGUCAACGAAGGAUAUUCCUUCUCCCAGGAAGACCCGAUCAGACUCGGAAUCCCGGUUACAAGACAUUUCGACAAUGGUAAAACAAGACCAGCAAAGCCACCUAGAUGUGCCGACAAAUCCCGAUAGGAGCUGCACAUAUCUCGUUCUCAGGGCACUCCAGAUUGUCCAAACUUCCGAUAGGCCAGCCCUGAGUUGCCCCUGGUGNNNNNNNNNNNNNNNNNNNNNNNNNNNNNNNNNNNNNNNNNNNNNNNNNNNNNNNNNNNNNNNNNNNNNNNNNNNNNNNNNNNNNNNNNNNNNNNNNNNNNNNNNNNNNNNNNNNNNNNNNNNNNNNNNNNNNNNNNNNNNNNNNNNNNNNNNNNNNNNNNNNNNNNNNNNNNNNNNNNNNNNNNNNNNNNNNNNNNNNNNNNNNNNNNNNNNNNNNNNNNNNNNNNNNNNNNNNNNNNNNNNNNNNNNNNNNNNNNNNNNNNNNNNNNNNNNNNNNNNNNAUGACCCUCGGGCUCCGGAAACCCAAGGGAAAAGAAAAGGUUAGGUGGCAAAUGGUAAAACCAAGGUUGGGCCUUGCUAGAGGAGUUUUAUUCAAGGCGAACUAUCAAGGGGUUCCCAUUAUAACCCAACCGCGUAAGGAACGCAAAAUCAAGGAACAUAACACUGGUAUGACGGAAACUAGGGCGGCAAGAGUGGAACAAAACACCAGGCAUAAGGCCGAGCCUUCCACCCUUUACCAAGUAUAUAGAUGAAUUAAUUAAAUAAGAGAUAUUGUGAUAUCCCAACAUAUCCAUGUUCCAAACAUGGACCAAACUCCAAUCUUCACCUACAACUAGCAAUGCUAUAAGAGGGGCUGAGCUAAGCGGUAACAUAGCCAAACAACGGUUUGCUAGGACAAGGUGGGUUAGAGAUUUGACAUGGCAAUAUGGGAGGCAUGAUAUAGCAAGUGGUAGGUAUCGCGGCAUAGCAAUAGAGCGAGCAACUAGCAAGCAAAGAUAGAAGUGAUUUCGAGGGUAUGGUCAUCUUGCCUGAGAUCCCGCAAGGAAGAAGAACGAGUCCAUGAAGAAGACAAACGGACAUAGUCGAACGGAUCUGCACAAACGCGAUGUUAUCGAAACUAACCCAUUGAAGCAACACCGGAAAGAAGCAAACAACAUAGUAAACAAUCAACACAUAAUCAUGGCAUGAUGCACAAGCAAGUAUGAUGUGUGUCCGGUUUAAUGAAGCAUGGCAUGGCAAAGUGCAACAAACAACACUACAAAUUAAGUGGAGCUCAAUAUGCAACGGAGUUGCAUAUUGAAGAAAACACCACCAGACUUAUUUAGUUCUCUCUCGUUUAGGUACCCAUCAAUAUUAAAUGUUCUUAAACAUGGCAAGAGGUGAAGCAUAGUAAAACUACCUAUCUAGUCAAGUUUAAACGAGGCUGGAACAACAAGCAACAAGUCCGGAAAAUCCUCAUGUGCAAAAUAUGUAUUUGGUACUGUUCUGCCCUAAACACAAUUUUAGAGUUAUUAAACAUGCAAAGUAAAGCCACCAUGUUAAACUAGGCAUUUUUCUACCCCAUUUACAUAUAAAGAUUAUUAAGUUGGGAGCUACGGUUAUUUUAUGCAAAAUUAAACAAACAACAUUUUAAACAUUUUUAACAUGCAUGAAAGUUGGAUACUGGGAAACUAGACGAAAAUCUAAGCAUUUUACUUAUAUAACUUAUUUUAAACCGAUGCACGGUUGAGGAGUUAUAAUAUGCAUGAAGUUAAGGGCCUAAUCUGUAAACAUGCAGUUUUCUAUAAAAUAGGGAAAUUUGUCCGCUAAAAAAUAGCAGUUGGGCCGAAACUGGU